rnacentral:lncRNA from 1 species
UUCCCCGGAGAAGUUGUCAUGGGAGGCCAGCCGCCUGCUGGCAAGGAAGAUGGUUGAUUCUUCUGAUCAAUGGAGGCCCUGCAGAGUCCUGUAGUCACUGUGGCCUGGCAUCCAUGGUGCACCCAAUGCUGGUGGAUGGCUUAGGACGGUACGCCUCACCUGAGAGGGCGGCUAGAGACAGUGUCUGCUCAGGACAUCAGAUGUCCCGUGAGGAGGAGUGUGUACUCACACCAGGGGAGUUGACUGAGGCAGUUGCUGUGGGAGGUGUGGUAACUGCUGGAAGGAAGAUGCUCAAUUCUUCUGAGCAACGAAGGCCACACGGAGUCCUGGAUUCUGUGUGGCCUGGCAUCCAUGGCGCACUGUGUGCUGGCAGGUGGCUCAGGACGAGUAGUGGGCUCCACUGUUGGGCACAUCUUCCUGGAAGUCGUCUCUUGGCCCGCCAUUGCCGAGCGGCCACACCUGCUGCAGCUCGUGUGAGCAAAUAUGGCUCUGGAUCCUCUUUCCUGCUUUGAAAGCAGCUUCCAUCCUGAAGGCGUCCAGAGGGGGCAGUUAUCAUGGGACACCCGCCAUAUGCUGGCAAGGAAGAUGGUCAGUUCUUCUGAGCCACAAAGGCCCCCAACAUCCUG